CCACGUUUGUGUUUUGAUUUGGGUAUCCAACAGAGAAAUAUCAACACCAUUCCAAAUAAAAUCAUUACGUACCUUCUAAAUACUCCAAACAAGGACAAGUAAUAGCUCAAAGCUUUCAUGAGAUACAUUUUGCGCCAUAUACUCCAGCCAUCCUCCAAAUCCCUCCUUAAUUAACCAUAUUAAAUCAAUUAAAAUAAUAAAUUAUUGAGGGGGGUAAAAAAUAGCCCCCUUCAGUUGGAGAUGGAUUUUUUUUGUCAAAGGGCUAUGUUUUGGCCUAUGGCCAUUUGGUCCCCUCGGUUAGAGAUGGUAUAAAAUAUGUCCAGGUACUAUUCAUAAAAAAAAAAUUCUACAGGGCUAUAAGGCUAAACAUGGCCCUUUGGCCCUCUUUCGGUUGGAGAUGGCCUAAUUCACCCUCAUUCUAGCUCAUCGAUAAGAUUGAGGACGCUCCCAAGACUCUUAUAAAUAAAGGUCAUGACCCCUAGCUUAGGAUGUUCAGCAUAUUCAAUCUCAACAAUUACAAACUUCAAGUGAUUCUUCAAUCAAUCCCUCAACUACUUUUGAGCAGAACUCAAAGCUCCUCAGCUCAACCCAAAGCCUUCUUCAAAGCUUCUAUGCGUAUAACCCAUGAGCUCUAAAACAUACACAGCUAUGCUAUCUUGUAUUAUGAUUUGGUUGAUGAUCAUUCCAACCACCCCUGAUCACUUCUAUGAGGUCAUGUACCUUCUUUGUAAAGUUUGAUACCAUCGUUAUCGAUGGACUUUUCUUGCACUAUUCUUACUAGUUUUAUUACUUCCUUACAUUUUGAAGUGUAUUUACUUUCCAGUAUUUUGAGUUAUGUAAAGUGUCUCAUCAUUCCACGAGUUUCCAUUAAACGUUAGUAGUCUUUCUUCAACAAUGAAAUGAUUACCUCCAGUUUUUCCUUUCCAUUUUCUCUUCUAUUUACUUUUCAGGCAAACAUACCACACUAGAUUUCAAGCUUAAAUCUCCAAAAUAUAUAAUCAUUGCAUGUGGGCAGCCUCCAAUAGUGGCAUGCUUAUUUUGUUACUUUCUCUCAAGCCAUCUCUUGCCACUAAGAAUGAAAGCACACUCAAGACAAAUCAUGUGGUGACCUAAGUCGGGCUCUAUUUGAUCUUUAACACCAAUAGAUGGGGAAAGGUGGGGUUGCACUUGCAGAUUGUAUUUGCCUAUGUGAUGUUCUCCUAAUUUUAUUUUGUGCCACCAUUAUAUCACAUUUUUGUAGUAGGGAGUAGAACAUUUAUAACCUAGUUAAUUUUAUUUAUUUUUUCUUUUUUGUUGAGAAUGGGUCCUGCAUUGUGGGGAAAGGGCUAUAUGCUUAUGAGUCGUUCGGCUAUUCUCCAGUUAAUUUUACAGUGGAAGCUCAAGUUUUUUCACUUUUCUUCUAAGCAAAUAAUUUUACGCAAGUGAUCAUUUUUCACAGUGGUGGAAAGGAGUUGAACCCUUGCAUGACAGCAUGGGUUCAAACCUUAUCGGUAGCUAAUCUAACAUCUAAUCUAACAAAAUUUAUUGUUUGACAAAAAAAGUAUUUACAAAAAAAAAAAAAUUGUUGUAAACAUUCCUAGAAUAAGUAUGAUUGUGUAAAUCCUAGAUUAGAUUUGAUUCUAGUUAUCAUUUCCUAUUACAACUUGUAUUACUUGGAGGAGAAGGAAUAUUUUAUCUUCCUUUACUACUAUAAAUAAAGGCACAAUGUAGG
rnacentral:lncRNA from 1 species